rnacentral:rRNA from 1 species
GGCGGGGAUUAGUGGCGAACGGGUGAGUAACACGUGGGCAAUCUGCCCUGCACUCUGGGACAAGCCCUGGAAACGGGGUCUAAUACCGGAUAUGACCGUCUGCCGCAUGGUGGAUGGUGUAAAGCUCCGGCGGUGCAGGAUGAGCCCGCGGCCUAUCAGCUUGUUGGUGAGGUAGUGGCUCACCAAGGCGACGACGGGUAGCCGGCCUGAGAGGGCGACCGGCCACACUGGGACUGAGACACGGCCCAGACUCCUACGGGAGGCAGCAGUGGGGAAUAUUGCACAAUGGGCGAAAGCCUGAUGCAGCGACGCCGCGUGAGGGAUGACGGCCUUCGGGUUGUAAACCUCUUUCAGCAGGGAAGAAGCGAAAGUGACGGUACCUGCAGAAGAAGCGCCGGCUAACUACGUGCCAGCAGCCGCGGUAAUACGUAGGGCGCAAGCGUUGUCCGGAAUUAUUGGGCGUAAAGAGCUCGUAGGCGGCUUGUCACGUCGGUUGUGAAAGCCCGGGGCUUAACCCCGGGUCUGCAGUCGAUACGGGCAGGCUAGAGUUCGGUAGGGGAGAUCGGAAUUCCUGGUGUAGCGGUGAAAUGCGCAGAUAUCAGGAGGAACACCGGUGGCGAAGGCGGAUCUCUGGGCCGAUACUGACGCUGAGGAGCGAAAGCGUGGGGAGCGAACAGGAUUAGAUACCCUGGUAGUCCACGCCGUAAACGGUGGGCACUAGGUGUGGGCAACAUUCCACGUUGUCCGUGCCGCAGCUAACGCAUUAAGUGCCCCGCCUGGGGAGUACGGCCGCAAGGCUAAAACUCAAAGGAAUUG